UUCACAUGCAAUGGGUGUGGCCUUCUCCGUCUGCCAAACAUGCUACAAGUACGAGCACCACGAGGGAACUGCCUGGAGUGCAAGACCCACCACAAGCUCCUCAAGGGUCAGUCAGCCUCCACCCACGGCCGAAGGCACUUGCAUAUGUGAAGAAUAUCCAUGUCCGAUUACAUCGUCAGAAAGCAAAAACCAUGAGAGCCCACACUAAUCAUCAAGGACUAUUUACAUGCCUAUAAUUAGGCCCACCAGUUUGGAUGGCAAACAAUUGCAGCUGCGAAGAAUAGGAUAUCUUCUCGAUCUCAGGGAUCAGCCCAUCUGAUCUUUUGUUUGAUUGGGGUUGCGGUUUUGUUGGGCAUAUAAAUUUGUGCUGGGUAUAUGAUCAUAUUUUUGCUGGCA